rnacentral:rRNA from 1 species
CUGCUGCCUUCCGUAGGAGUUUGGGCCGUGUCUCAGUCCCAAUGUGGCCGUUCACCCUCUCAGGCCGGCUACUGAUCGUCGCCUUGGUGGGCCGUUACCCCUCCAACCAGCUAAUCAGACGCGGGUCCAUCCUGUACCACCGGAGUUUUUCACACUGUACCAUGCGGUACUGUGCGCUUAUGCGGUUUUAGCACCUAUUUCUAAGUGUUAUCCCCUGUACAGGGCAGGUUACCCACGCGUUACUCACCCGUCCGCCACUAAGAUAAA